rnacentral:lncRNA from 1 species
CUGUUUUUAUAAGAAUGCUAAGGAGCUGAAGCUGAGACCUAAAAGCUAAGCAGGAGUGCUCUGGGCAGAGGGAAUGAUGAACACAUUGAGUUUCUGUGAUGGCCUGGUAGCCUUUGGACAUCAGACUUGUCUGUUUUCUGCUCUAGAAUUGGCCUGCUCUGUGACUUCAGGAUUGGGUUGUUUGCCUUUGUCCCUGUCUGACCAUGGGAACAUGACUGGGCUAGCUGGCUGGAGGGAUAGGAGAGAGACAUGGACCAGAAUGGCCUAGUUUUGUCUAGCUGACC